AUAUUACCAAAAUUCUCAUUGUAGUGCAGUCUGCGGAGGACCGUUGCUUGUCGAAAAGAAAAGACUUUUGAAAUGUAUGAGCUGAUCAACUACAAAGGUAUGACAAAGAGGCCAUCUGUGGCCAAGCACCUUGUUGACCUAUAUACAAUAACCCGUUUCAUUUGACAAACAAUAAUUGCACGUGGCCCUGUUGUCAACGAGAAACAAACAGGAUGUUGGCACGGUGUAAGUGACCUGCCCGACUUGAAAAUGAAAUGUAGCGUGAUGCGUGUGGCACAUGUGGUACGAGAUCCUUGUCUGUCGCUACUGCGUCAGCAUGCCACCCGUUGACACGUAAAAUGUUCGAGAUAUUUCUAACAUACGAAAACAGUAAAACACACGGCGAAACGAUGCUGUGGUCCCAUCAUUUCUCUAUCAUCACCGUUUGCCACAAUCAGGUGUUUAAGAAUUAAUGGAAGAUGUGAUCCCUUUACAUAAAAUGCUUUAACCAAUAUGAAAACAUUAAAACUCAUGAGAUUUUAAUAGCAGGUAAUAUGUAUAAGUUUACGGUGCAAAAGAUAAACAAACAAUGUCUGUUGAAAUACGAUGCAUACUGUUUGUGCAGGGUUUGUGUACUAGUUCAAAACCUCAUCGUUUACGUGAAAUGAUUCAAUACCGUGGAUUACCUUAGAAAUUGUCAUGUCUGUAAUUUACGUGUACCCAAUACAGCUAUAGGAAUAGCGCGGAAAUAGUUUAUUGAAUCAGAACAGAUCACUCACAAAAUCAAUUUCAGCUUUUGUGAGCCUCGCAACAAAACGAAUUGAACCACAACUCCAAGAAAACGAUUAACAAUAACAACAACGAUCGGA